UGGGGAAUUUUGGACAAUGGGCGCAAGCCUGAUCCAGCCAUGCCGCGUGCAGGAUGAAGGCCCUCGGGUUGUAAACUGCUUUUGUACGGAACGAAAAGCCUCUUUCUAAUAAAGAGGGGUGAUGACGGUACCGUAAGAAUAAGCACCGGCUAACUACGUGCCAGCAGCCGCGGUAAUACGUAGGGUGCGAGCGUUAAUCGGAAUUACUGGGCGUAAAGCGUGCGCAGGCGGUCUUGCAAGACAGUGGUGAAAUCCCCGGGCUCAACCUGGGAACUGCCAUUGUGACUGCAAGGCUGGAGUACGGCAGAGGGGGAUGGAAUUCCGCGUGUAGCAGUGAAAUGCGUAGAUAUGCGGAGGAACACCGAUGGCGAAGGCAGUCCCCUGGGCCUGUACUGACGCUCAUGCACGAAAGCGUGGGGAGCAAA
rnacentral:rRNA from 2 species